UUAAAAAUUUCUGACCCAUCAAAAUUAUGUUGUUUGGGUAGUGGCCAAACAAGAUGUUAACGGGUAACGGAGAAUUAGGGUUCGAUUCCGGAGAAGAAGCUUGAGAAACGGCUACUAUUUCUAAGGAAAGCAGCAGGCGCGCAAAUUACCCAAUUCCAAAUCGGAGAGGUAGUGACAAUAUAUAACGAUAUGGGACUCGAUACGAGUCUUAUAAUCGGAAUGAGUACGAUGUAAAAUAGCUAACGAGUAUCAAUUGGAGGGCAAGUCUGGUGCCAGCAGCCGCGGUAAUACCAGCUCCAAAAGCAUAUUUCAAAGUUGCUGCAGUUAAAAAGCUCGUAGUUGGAAUCUUAGUGGUUCAUUUGAUCGAUGCGAUUGUGAUUGAGUUCAUGGUUGCGUUGUCAUGGGCCGUUUUUUUGGACACACUGGGGUAUGUUGGGCGUGGCUGAUUAAUUUUGGUUGCGUUUGUGUGCGUUGGCAACAGCGUGCACAGGGGGCGGUUGCAUGGAGGAGGGGAAACUCUUUUCUGUGUGGUUGUCUUUCCAUGGCUCCUUGUAUACUGUGAAAAAAUUAGAGCGUUCAAAGCGGGCGGUUGGGGGGACGGGAAACUGUUUCCUCAUUGUUUCGCCAGUGAAUAGAAAAGCAUGGGAUAUUAGAAGAGGACGAUCUUGUUUAGAUUUUUUUGGUUUUCAAAAUGAGAUUGUAAUGAUCAAAAGGGACAGUUGGAGCGAUUUGUACUUCCUGGUAAGAGGUGAAAUUUGUAGACCCAGGAAAGACAAACAGAUGCGAAAGCGAGUCGCUAAGAUGUUCCCAUUAAUCAAGAACGAAAGCAAGGGGAUCGAAGGUGAUUAGAUACCGCUGUAGUCCUUGCUGUAAACGAUAUGAACUGGGACUUGGCAGUAGGGGAAGUCCCUUGACAAGCGUAGCCUUUGUGUUGCGUGUCGUCUUGGGAAAAAUAGACACCCUUUGCCAGAGCCUAAAGAGAAAUCUUAAGUUUUUACAUUCCGGGGGGAGUAUAGUCGCAAGGCCGGAACUUAAAGGAAUUGACGGAAGGGCAUCACCGGGCUGUGGAACCUGCGGCUUAAUUUGACCCAACACGGGGAAACUUUCCAGGCUCAGACAGCUCUAGGAUUGACAGAUUGAAAGCUCUUUCAUGAUUGGUUGGUUGGUGGUGCAUGGCCGUUUUUAGUUGGUGGGGUGACUUGUCUGGUUUAUUCCGUUAACGAGCGAGACAAAAGCUUAUUAAAUAGGUCACAGCAAGGAGGAAUGGGGGUGACUUGAGGAAUCCC
rnacentral:rRNA from 1 species